rnacentral:rRNA from 1 species
AGUUUGAUCCUGGCUCAGAUUGAACGCUGGCGGUAUGCCUUACACAUGCAAGUCGAACGGUAGAGGAGCAAUCCUCGAGAGUGGCGGACGGGUGAGUAAUACAUCGGAACGUGCCCAGUCGUGGGGGAUAACGUAGCGAAAGCUACGCUAAUACCGCAUACGACCCGAGGGUGAAAGCGGGGGACUCGCAAGAGCCUCGCGCGAUUGGAGCGGCCGAUGGCAGAUUAGGUAGCUGGUGGGGUAAAGGCCCACCAAGCCUGCGAUCUGUAGCUGGUCUGAGAGGACGACCAGCCACACUGGGACUGAGACACGGCCCAGACUCCUACGGGAGGCAGCAGUGGGGAAUUUUGGACAAUGGGCGAAAGCCUGAUCCAGCCAUACCGCGUGCGGGAAGAAGGCCUUCGGGUUGUAAACCGCUUUUGUCAGGGAAGAAAUACUUCGGGCUAAUACCCUGGGGUGAUGACGGUACCUGAAGAAUAAGCACCGGCUAACUACGUGCCAGCAGCCGCGGUAAUACGUAGGGUGCAAGCGUUAAUCGGAAUUACUGGGCGUAAAGCGUGCGCAGGCGGUUCUAUAAGACAGAUGUGAAAUCCCCGGGCUCAACCUGGGAACUGCAUUUGUGACUGUAGAGCUAGAGUACGGUAGA